rnacentral:rRNA from 1 species
AGACGGUGACGUUUAGCAAAUCCCAGAAAUAACGUCCCAGUUCGGAUUGUAGUCUGCAACCCGACUACAUGAAGCUGGAAUCGCUAGUAAUCGCGGAUCAGAAUGCCGCGGUGAAUACGUUCCCGGGUCUUGUACACACCGCCCGUCACACCAUGGGAGUCGAUAACGCCCGAAGUCAGUGACCCAACCGAAAGGAGGGAGCUGCCGAAGGCGGGAUGGAUAACUGGGGUGAAGUCGUAACAAGGUAGC